UACGUAGGUGGCAAGCGUUGUCCGGAUUUACUGGGCGUAAAGGGCGCGUAGGCGGUUCUGUAUGUCUACCGUGAAAGCCUACAGCUCAACUGUAUUUUGUCGGUAGAAACUGCAGGACUUGAGGCUGGGAGGGGAUGGUGGAAUUCCCUGUGUAGCGGUGAAAUGCGUAGAGAUGGGGGAGAACACUCGUGGCGAAGGCGGCCAGCUAGACCAGUUCUGACACUGAGGCGCGACAGCGUGGGGAGCAAACAGG
rnacentral:rRNA from 1 species